GUGCUUGGUUUGGCACCACAUGUACUAAAAUUGGAAUGAUACAGAGAAGAUUACCAUGGCCUCUGCCUGAGGAUGACUUGCAAAUUCAUGAAGUGUUCCAUAAUUAA